rnacentral:rRNA from 1 species
ACGCUGGCGGCGUGCCUAAUACAUGCAAGUCGAGCGAACGGACGAGAAGCUUGCUUCUCUGAUGUUAGCGGCGGACGGGUGAGUAACACGUGGAUAACCUACCUAUAAGACUGGGAUAACUUCGGGAAACCGGAGCUAAUACCGGAUAAUAUUUUGAACCGCAUGGUUCAAAAGUGAAAGACGGUCUUGCUGUCACUUAUAGAUGGAUCCGCGCUGCAUUAGCUAGUUGGUAAGGUAACGGCUUACCAAGGCAACGAUGCAUAGCCGACCUGAGAGGGUGAUCGGCCACACUGGAACUGAGACACGGUCCAGACUCCUACGGGAGGCAGCAGUAGGGAAUCUUCCGCAAUGGGCGAAAGCCUGACGGAGCAACGCCGCGUGAGUGAUGAAGGUCUUCGGAUCGUAAAACUCUGUUAUUAGGGAAGAACAUAUGUGUAAGUAACUGUGCACAUCUUGACGGUACCUAAUCAGAAAGCCACGGCUAACUACGUGCCAGCAGCCGCGGUAAUACGUAGGUGGCAAGCGUUAUCCGGAAUUAUUGGGCGUAAAGCGCGCGUAGGCGGUUUUUUAAGUCUGAUGUGAAAGCCCACGGCUCAACCGUGGAGGGUCAUUGGAAACUGGAAAACUUGAGUGCAGAAGAGGAAAGUGGAAUUCCAUGUGUAGCGGUGAAAUGCGCAGAGAUAUGGAGGAACACCAGUGGCGAAGGCGACUUUCUGGUCUGUAACUGACGCUGAUGUGCGAAAGCGUGGGGAUCAA